UACAGAUACAAUGUAAUAAUUGUCUUUAAUUAAUUUAAUAAUUUAAUAAAAAUAGAAGUAAAACUCGAUAUUACAGUUGAACGUGUUAAAUGAUGUUAAACACUGCAGUAAAGACACAUUAACAGUGAAAGUGUGUAUUAAAGCGUGUAUUAAAGCGUGUAUUAAAGUGUGUAUUAAAGCGUGUAUUAAAGCGUGUAUUAAAGUGUGUAUUAAAGUGUGUAUUAAAGUGUGUAUUAAAGCGUGUAUUAAAGCGUGUAUUAAAGCGUGUAUUAAAGUGUGUAUUAAAUUGUGUAUUAAAGCGUGUAUUAAAGUGUGUAUUAAAAUGUGUAUUAAAGUGUGUAUUAAAGCGUGUAUUAAAUUGUGUAAAGUUACAUUAGUGAGUGUUUACACCUGAGAUCAUUCAUCAGUCAGUUACUACAUGAUUU
ensembl:lncRNA